AUCAACGGAAAGCUUUUGGCUAGGGUUUGACUGAUAAGCAGCUGAGGGUUUUCAGUUUACGCAGAUGGAGGCAGUGAGUUUGAGGCAGCAAAUGCAUAACUUGUAGAAUUAUGAAUGGGAAAAGUGAUGGUACCGAUGACUUUCUUGCAAGUUAUGCAGUUGCUGCCUCAAGCUUGCUGCCUCCCUCUGCCAAAACUAGUGUGGACAAAAUAACCCAUGUCAAUGCAUUAUGGUAAUGUGAUGAUUCAAAGAUUGUCCUUGAUUAAUGUUAAAAUCCAACAAGCUUAAAAUUUGAAGUUUCCUCACGGUCAAACAAUGAGUAUUGCUUAUGACAUUUUUUUAACUAAAUGAUCUAUUGCAAGGAGGCCCAUCAUUUGCUAGUAUGUUUGAGAUCUUAGUCAGAUUUUGCUUCAGUGAUCUUCACAGAUUCGCUGAUCUUGUCGGAGUCAAACCUUAUAAUGCUAUUCUGGUUAGAUAAGAAUCGGUUGAGAAUGUCUGCAGACCGUCUCAUGUCAGCUUUGAUGCAAAACAUAUCUUUGGCCUAUAGCAUUCAGUAAUGUUCUGCAUAACACAUUUGCUAGCGUUAUAUAUUGUUUGGGACACAGUGUGGGUACUCCUCUUUCAACUAUUUCUAGGUGAAUGCUGUCCAUUACAUCUCCUUCACAUGAGAUGGGUGAUUUGCAGAUGUCUCA
rnacentral:miRNA from 1 species